rnacentral:piRNA from 1 species
UGUGGAAUUGUAAUCCUGAAUGUUGC